rnacentral:rRNA from 1 species
UACGGGGGGGGCAAGCGUUGUUCGGAAUUACUGGGUGUAAAGGGCGCGUAGGCGGCCUUCUAAGUCGGACGUGAAAUCCCUCGGCUUAACCGAGGAACUGCGUCCGAUACUGAAAGGCUUGAAUCCGGGAGAGGGAUGUGGAAUUCCAGGUGUAGCGGUGAAAUGCGUAGAUAUCUGGAGGAACACCGAUAGCGAAGGCAGCUCGCUGGGACGGUACUGACGCUGAGGUGCGAAAGCGUGGGGAGCGAACAGG